GAUGAAACCAAAAUGUUGAACUGUUUGGCCGUUCCGUCCAUCCAUCCAUCCCAACAAUGAAGCAUGGUGGCACCAUGCUGUGUGUGUGUGUGUGUGUGUGUGUGUGUGGCGGGGGGUGGGGGUGGGGCGGGUGGUUCAGUCAGUGUGUUUACAUGAUGGUAUAAUUCGAAUCUUUGCUUAGUCGGACUAUGCUUUCUUUCGAGGGUAGGUGCUAUUAUCCCAAUGUACAUGGCAGUGAAUAAAUCGAAUCAUUGGCCGAAAGCAUGUCAUAUCCGAUACGAUAGGUGGCGCUGUUUUUAUUACAACUAGUGGUGAUACAGCCCUUUCCGCUUGACCUCUUCACCACUACCAAUAACAACAACAGUUGAUUGAGCAUGAAUCGCGUCUGUUCAUCGGUCCAGAAAUGCGUGUUGCCUCUUGGGUUGUUUGUUUGUUUCUUUCUUUCUUUCUUUCUUUCUGCCAGGCCGAUGUGUUUAUAAGUUACAUUAUUCAAAGGUGAAAGAUAAAAGGCGAGAGAAACGCACGCACAUUCACACACGCGCGCAAAUAAUGGGUUACAGCCUAAACGCAUUGCCCUUCUGCCAGUUGCAUCAAAUUGUUUUAGUACUUCUUCGCUGUCGAUUUCCAAAUCUGUGUGAAUAUUCAUGAGAGCAAGUCCAGUCAGUCUUUUCGUAGAUAGAUACAAGACCUUCAGGACGCAAUGAAUGUUUGGCUAGAAAUUUGCCGAACUUUCCAGGGCUUGAUAAAGUUCACUGCGUAACUCAUUUAGCUGUUUCCAGCUCUGUAUCUGCAUCGUCAACGCUGGGCAUUAGUUGUCUGUACUCCGAUUUUAUAGUUUCCCCAUUUUAAUAAAUAUGCGUUCAUGAUAUAUUUUUCUUCUUCUCGCGUAGCAGAAGGUACGCACAGUGCGUACGGCUGCAUGCGCCACUGGAACUCUGUGCAAUUAAUACAAUACAUAAUAGGCUAAUUGAUACAAUAUCUCCUCGUUUGAGUGUGGUUGUUUGAGUGCAAUGGGAGUGUAUGAUCGAUGUUGUCUAUAAAGGUAUUUAGGUAAAGGUAUUUACGGGAAAAUAUCUCGAUCCACCUGUCACGUCUCUGUCUUUAGAGGGCAGCGCCAGAUAACUGAACACAACUAAAGUCACGCGUGCCUCGCGGGCACAAUACCAAAUUUCAUCAUAUUUGAUAGAAUGAAGGACAUAUUAGUUGUGAAUAGUAUCACCGAGUUUGAUAGGUAUUGGUCAGGUAAUAGCCGAGUGACAGCUGAUUUGCUUUCUGAUUUGACAGUACCUUUUCGUGGUUUUUUUCAGCGCCAGAUAACUGAACACAACUAAAGUCACGCGUGCCUCGAGGGCACAAUACCAAAUUUCAUCAUAUUUGAUAGAAUGAAGGACAUAUUAGUUGUGAAUAGUAUCACCGAGUUUGAUAGGUAUUGGUCAGGUAAUAGCCGAGUGACAGCUGAUUUGCUUUCUGAUUUGACAGUACCUUUUCGUGGUUUUUUUUUCAGCGCCAGAUAACUGAACACAACUAAAGUCACGCGUGCCUCGCGGGCACAAUACCAAAUUUCAUCAUAUUUGAUAGAAUGAAGGACAUAUUAGUUGUGAAUAGUAUCACCGAGUUUGAUAGGUAUUGGUCAGGUAAUAGCCGAGUGACAGCUGAUUUGCUUUCUGAUUUGACAGUACCUUUUCGUGGUUUUUUUCAGCGCCAGAUAACUGAACACAACUAAAGUCACGCGUGCCUCGCGGGCACAAUACCAAAUUUCAUCAUAUUUGAUAGAAUGAAGGACAUAUUAGUUGUGAAUAGUAU
ensembl:lncRNA